UGUGCAGUUGCAGCUGGAACAUCGCAGAGUAAAGAAUUCUCCCUCUCUCUCAGCUCACAUUGACCAUAUUCUCAGAGGAUAGACUCUGAACUCUCUUCUUUCCCUGAGGACAUCUAUGUAGGACUGACUACACAAGUGUACCUCUUAAAGUUCUAUUCCAGAAAUCCACUUGACAGACCUCUGGACAUAUACACAGAAUGAGCGAGCAGGAGGUGACCUACUCAGAACUGAAAUUUCACACUCCUACUCAACAGCAAAUCCGACAGAGAGCUGAGAUCACCAAGAACAAAGAUUUGUCUUCUCCUCUGUGGAGGCCCUUUGCAGUAAUCUUUGGAAUCCUCUGCCUGGCUUUGCUGGUAACAUCAGGGGUCUUGGGUGCUCUGGUUUGCAGAUGGCAGCAAAACUUCAGCCAGCAGCAGGGAAUUCUGGAAAAUCUUACCUGCCAGCAAAUUAUCUUGGAAAACCAAACUCAUGAGCUACAGGAAAUCCUAGAAAACCUCACAAGGGAGAGAGAUUAUCUUCAAACCCAGAAUAUUAAUUUCUUGAAGACUUUGCAGUCAAAAGUAAUGUUGCUGCGUUGGUCCCAAGAUAUUACAAUGAGAAGGAGACAAGUGCAUCAUUUGUCCAAAGAACUGGAUACAGCAUGGGAAGGACUGUUAUGAACUUUCGUCUGGUAUAAAAUCUUGGUCUGUGUGUAAAGAAUAUUGCUCUUCCCUGGGCUCCAGACUGCUGAAGAUAGACAGCAAGGAAGAGCUGGACUUCAUAAAACCACUGACAAGUUUUCGUUACUGGAUGGGAUUAUUGUAUAAUGACACCAAAGGUUACUGGCAAUGGGAAGAUGGCACUGCUCUCACCACUGAUGUGUUUCCAAGUCUGAGAAGUUACCACGGUCCAUAUUGUGCAACACUGAAAAAUGGAAAAGCCUUGGGCUAUUCUUGUGAAAGCCUAAACUUCUGUGUGUGUGAAAAGGGUCUGUUUAGCUAAAGUCUUCUGUAAUGGCACAAGAAUGAACAUAUGAGGUCCUAUUUUGGAGGAUCCAGUUGCUACUGUUGCCUAUAUUUAUAAGGCUCCAUCUUGUAUGGAGCCGAGUAUGGAGUCCAACUUAAGUCAUCCAACUCCGACAUAAGUUAUUUAAGUUUUGAGCAUUGUGGUCCUGUUUCAGCAGAGCACAAAACAGGACAGGGUCCCUACUAAACUGUUAAAAUUCUCUGUUGUGCUCACAAAGUGCUUGUAAGCUAUUAUAGAAGGAGAUGGCUCCUCUUUCAGUGGGAGAAACAAUAAUCACACUCCACUUCACCAACCAGCCUUCUGUUCUUGGCCCUUGCUGCUGCUACUGUUCAUCUGUUCCAAAAUCCAGACCAGACUGCAGAAUGUGACACUGCUGUGGAGCCAGCUUGAGCUACUGUCCCCAGGAUUCACCCAUCUCACAUGGAGAACUCUCUUAUCUCCUGUUGCCAAUAUAUCAUUUUUUAUACAAAAACUUUUUUUUUUUGCUUCUAAUUCUGAUUUUUUUCUUGUCCUGUGCCAAAAAUAUAUUUUUUUUACCUAUUAUGUUCAUAUAUGAUGACUUACUAUUAAACAACUGAAACAAUGUUCUAAUUCUUUGGUAAUUAUUACUUUGGCUUUGAGAGGUCCUCUUUAAUUCCCUGUCCCCAAUAUUAUUAUGCCACCUAACAACAAUCAGAAGGGAAA